GAUGAACGCUGGCGGCGUGCUUAACACAUGCAAGUCGAGCGAAGCACUUUUGCGGAUUUCUUCGGAUUGAAGCAACUGUGACUGAGCGGGCGACGGGUGAGUACGCGUGGUAACCGUGCUCAUACAGGGGAUAACAGUUGGAAACGGCUGCUAAUACCGCAUAAGCGCACAGUACCGCAUGGUACGGUGUGAAAAACUCCGGUGGUAUGAGAUGGACCCGCGUCUGAUUAGGUAGUUGGUGGGGUAACGGCCUACCAAGCCGACGAUCAGUAGCCGACCUGAGAGGGUGACCGGCCACAUUGGGACUGAGACACGGCCCAA
rnacentral:rRNA from 1 species